AUUGAACGCUAGCGGGAUGCCUUACACAUGCAAGUCGAACGGAGUGGCCAACGGGUGAGUAAUGUACCGGAACGUGCCCAGUAGCGGGGGCUAACUACGCGAAAGCGUAGCUAAUCCCGCAUACUAUUGGAGCUGCCGAAAUCGGAUGAGCUAGUUGGUGGGGUAACGGCUAACCAAGGCGACGAUCCGUAGCCGGUUUGAGAGGACGACCAGCCACACUGGAACUGAGACACGGCCCAGACUCCUACGGGAGGAAGCAGUGGGGAAGUUUGGACAAGGGGGGAAACCCUGAUCCAGCAAUCCCGCGUGUGCGAUGAAGGCCUUCGGGUUGUAAAGCACUUUUGGCAGGAAAGCGGUACCUGCAGAGUAAGCAACGGCUAACUACGUGCCAGCAGCCGCGGUAAUAC
rnacentral:rRNA from 1 species